rnacentral:lncRNA from 1 species
AGUCUUCUGUGCAGAAACAAAACACAGCCAACUCGGACCUGUUAGUCCCAGCGUGCAUCACCAAGCAGGAAAACCUGCCAGUGAUGGAGAGUUCCUGAAGAAAUUUUUGUUGCUGGACUGAUUAACUCAGCGGACAGACGGUCUGUGGGAACUCUGUCUCUGGGAAUCUGAUGAUCAUGUGGCCGGGAUGACGACUGGGCAAGUAUGGAGACUUUAGUGGGUGGGGUUUCCUUCGUUGAGUUUCUUUCAGAUUGCUGCAGAAAGCCCUCAGCAUUGGGACACAAAGAGAGGUUUGGAUGCUCUGGGAGGACCUUUCACUGUCUCAAACUGUCUCUUAACAGCAGCCUUUCAGUUCUGCCUCACUUACGGUUUCUCUGGGUUCUUUGUCAUGGCAGGACAAGUGACUACUACAACUUCCCCUCGUCCACCUUGCCUCCUGCUCUGUCUACACCUAGCUCUUUUGUUAAUGGUGGUUGCGAUGUCUCGUGUGUCUGUGGAGAGCAACUCGACCAGCUCACGGGUGUCGGGCUCACAUUCAAAGAAAGCUCAACCUUCGUAACAACACAAGCUGUAAUGGCAGCACCAGGGGAUGGAGGCAAGAAGACAAGGCAAGCUUCAGGCCAGCCUGGGCUACCAAAACCAAAAAACAAAAAACCUAACCCAAUUCGUAAAAUCAAAUCAGAUUCAAUCAAGUUACUUAGCAUAUCCAGUACCGGCCUCACCCACCAGCACCACAGGCACCAUUGCUAAGUGUCUGAGCUGACCAGUGCUAAUCACACUGAGCCUGACAGUCUCCACCCAUCUUUAUCCUAAAUGGCAAGUCUGACCCAUUCAGCAGCAGGUUUUCAUUCUCACCCCUUCCCUGAUAACCUUGACUCUCCUCCCACUCUCUGUGACUCGUCUGUCCUACCUACCUCAUGGGAGUGGAGUCAUACAGGGUUUCUUCCUUUGCAGUUGGCUUAUUUUACUGAGCAAAGUGCUUUUAAAGAUUCACCCAUUGAGUACCAGGGGUCGGAAUGCUACUCCUCUUAUGGCUAAGUAAUAUUCCACUGCAUCUCACACUGUGUGUAUUCACUCAUCCGUUGGUGGAUACUUGGGUUAUGUAGUAUUGACUACUGUGCCUUUCAAUUAAAGAAAAAAA